GGGGCAUCUAAUGUCAAUAGAGUGGUUGUGUCUUUUUGAUACAACCAAACCAUUGCAACCAAUCGAGAACGAUCAACUUCAGAAAAGGCACUCAUAUCUCUACAACGGUGGAAGAUUGGUAGACUUAAUAUUUAGUGAGGAGAUUUGGGUUCAGAUCUCUUUAAUUAGUCACAUACAUCUAAUGUAAUGACUAAUAUGAUUUGGAUCAGCACAUUUCAUGUCGGACCAACUUAGUCAGCAUGGGUGAACUUAGAUCAAC
rnacentral:lncRNA from 1 species